GACGAACCGUGCGAACGUUGUUCGGAAUCACUGGGCUUAAAGGGCGCGUAGGCGGAUGAGCAAGUCUAGGGUGAAAUCUUUCGGCUUAACCGGAAAAGUGCCUUGGAUACUGCUCGUCUCGAGGGAGGUAGGGGUCGGUGGAACUUCUGGUGGAGCGGUGAAAUGCGUUGAUAUCAGAAGGAACGCCGGUGGCGAAAGCGACCGACUGGACCUCUUCUGACGCUGAGGCGCGAAAGCUAGGGGAGCGAACGGG
rnacentral:rRNA from 1 species